rnacentral:misc_RNA from 1 species
AACUUUUAGCAAUGGAUCACUUCAGGCAUGACAAAGGGUUCCACAGGAGCCGCGACUGGCGUCCAACUUACCGACUCCUGUGUGAUACCUGUUAGCAAUUCACUAUACCUUUAGUCUCAGUGACGAUCAAGUGUAAGGCGCCGUCACGGCAGUGGUUGCCGCAUGUAGCGUGACCUCUGCUAUAGCUGCGCAUCUCGUCUCGCGGUGGAACCAGCCGUGGUAAUAUGGUCUCUGCCGACAGCGGCUGUUCGUUAUUUGCAAUCUUUUAGCGCACAGCCUCGUAGGACGAUCACUUCACUACCUGCCGCCUUCCCGACCGCGGUCAUGACUUUGCCGGAGCCAGCCUUAUGGACGAACUUAAGCAUAUCAAUAAGCGGAGGCU